AGAGUUUGAUCCUGGCUCAGGAUGAACGCUAGCGACAGGCUUAACACAUGCAAGUCGAGGGGCAGCACAGGUAGCAAUACCGGGUGGCGACCGGCGCACGGGUGAGUAACGCGUAUGCAACUUGCCUAUCAGAGGGGGAUAACCCGGCGAAAGUCGGACUAAUACCGCAUGAAGCAGGGGCCCCGCAUGGGGAUAUUUGCUAAAGAUUCAUCGCUGAUAGAUAGGCAUGCGUUCCAUUAGGCAGUUGGCGGGGUAACGGCCCACCAAACCGACGAUGGAUAGGGGUUCUGAGAGGAAGGUCCCCCACAUUGGUACUGAGACACGGACCAAACUCCUACGGGAGGCAGCAGUGAGGAAUAUUGGUCAAUGGCCGAGAGGCUGAACCAGCCAAGUCGCGUGAGGGAUGAAGGUUCUAUGGAUCGUAAACCUCUUUUAUAAGGGAAUAAAGUGCGGGACGUGUCCCGUUUUGUAUGUACCUUAUGAAUAAGGAUCGGCUAACUCCGUGCCAGCAGCCGCGGUAAUACGGAGGAUCCGAGCGUUAUCCGGAUUUAUUGGGUUUAAAGGGUGCGUAGGCGGCCUUUUAAGUCAGCGGUGAAAGUCUGUGGCUCAACCAUAGAAUUGCCGUUGAAACUGGGGGGCUUGAGUAUGUUUGAGGCAGGCGGAAUGCGUGGUGUAGCGGUGAAAUGCAUAGAUAUCACGCAGAACCCCGAUUGCGAAGGCAGCCUGCCAAGCCAUUACUGACGCUGAUGCACGAAAGCGUGGGGAUCAAACAGGAUUAGAUACCCUGGUAGUCCACGCAGUAAACGAUGAUCACUAGCUGUUUGCGAUACACUGUAAGCGGCACAGCGAAAGCGUUAAGUGAUCCACCUGGGGAGUACGCCGGCAACGGUGAAACUCAAAGGAAUUGACGGGGGCCC
rnacentral:rRNA from 2 species